rnacentral:tRNA from 1 species
CCUCCUUAAAAGUAGACGAGUUGGGCGUGAAAGCGUCCACACAAUUUGCCUGUUUGAUGUCCGUGACCACGGGUCUGUAGCUCAGUUGGUUAGAGCGCACCCCUGAUAAGGGUGAGGUCGGAAGUUCAAAUCUUCCCAGACCCACCAUUUCUUCGAGUAAGAAGAUCUUUCGGGGCCAUAGCUCAGCUGGGAGAGCACCUGCUUUGCAAGCAGGGGGUCGGCGGUUCGAUCCCGCCUGGCUCCACCAGGAGACAAACGCCAGUAGCAUCGGCUAUUUCCGUUUGUCCCCUGAUCAGGUCUGGUCGGGAACCGUUCUUUAAAAAUUUAGGUAGUGAUAUACGACGGUGAAGUAGAUUCCCCUCGGGGAAGAAACUUUACUGGGUAUACCAGCAUUUACUAGUAAGUUCAGACUCUAAGAAGUUCAGUCUUCUUGGGGUUAUAUGA